rnacentral:rRNA from 1 species
AGAGAGUGCAAACGUUGUUCGGAAUUACUGGGCUUGAAACGCACGUAGGCGGCGUUGUAAGUGUCGGGUGAAAUCCCACGGCUCACCCGUGGAACUGCCCGGCAUACUGCGAUGCUAGAGUGUGGUAGGGGAGAGCGGAACUCCUGGUGGAGCGGUGAAAUGCGUAGAUAUCAGGAGGAACACCGGUGGCGAAGGCGGCUCUCUGGUCCACAACUGACGCUGAGGUGCGAAAGCUAGGGGAGCAAACGGGAUUAGAUACCCCGGUAGUCCUAGCUGUAAACGAUGGGCACUAGCUUGGGGUCUCCCUGUGUGAUCCCAGGUGAAGCAAAAGUGAUAAGUGCCCCGCCUGGGGAGUAUGGUCGCAAGGCUG